ensembl:lncRNA
AAGCAAUUAUUGCUUUACAAUAUCAUCUCCUAGAAAGCAAGCUGAGGUUUCUAUAUCAAAAUGGAAAAACAACUCAUUUUCCCCCAACAAUUAAUAUUAUAUGUCUUCUUUAUUAAGCAAAAUGCACACAAAAUUCUUAUUAUCUCCAUUGCUUCCAGGUCAGCAAGACUGGGAACUGAUUAGGAAGAGCAAGCAGUGUCUUUCAGACAGAGGAAGACAAGCCAGGCGGGAGCAAAGAUUUUUCAAAACAGCUGAUUUUCUUCCACUGCUCUGUUCCAGGGAAAGAUGUGAGGACAUACAUUGCCAGUCUCUCUUCUCUCCCAGCCCAGAGCAAGACUUCCCACAGCAGAGGGAGUUUCUGAGGCUACAGCAAAGGUGAAUAAGAGGUUGAAAGAUGGAACCCCUCCAGGAAGGCUGAAGAAGUGGGGAGAUGUGAUGUGAUAAAGAAAAGGAGACAAAAAAAUUUUUGAGUUUAAAAAUUUAUCUUUAAUUAUGUGGAAGGAUGUUGAUGUAAGAGAGUGACCUCUUUUUCCCAUCUCUUUUGGGGCAGGUCAAAAGAAAAUGGACUUAAGCUGCAGCAGAGCGGGUUUAGGUAAGACAGAAAAAGGAAUUUCCUGAAUGUGGAGAUCGUUAAAAACUGGAAUGAGUUACUAAGGGAGUCUGUGGACACUCUUCCUCUGGGGAACAUUUAAAAAUAAGAUAAAUUUUCAUCUGUCAGGGAGGGUUUAGAAGUAAUCCAACCAGAAGGCCUCUCAAAGCAUUUUCCAGCCCUAUAACCUGAAGGCCAAAUUCCCUCCAAUUUUAUUUCUACAGUUAACUAGACAUGAGAUGGAUGCCUGAAGCGGAAUUCAGAGUUUCAGAUACAGCAACUAAAGCCUAUUGCCUUUUGUUCUAUAAUAAGACACCACUUUGCAUAAAAGACUAAAGUCGUAAUCCUUCCUGGAAACCAUAUCAAGAAAAACAUUCACAAUCCAAAACUUGGCAAAUUAGCUAUUGCUUAGACACCUUCACUCUCAUUCUCAAGAAUAC